UGCAGUUACUGGUGAAACUGUAAUAUGGGUUCUCACUAUUUUGACAGGUAGAAGCGUGGUUUGGCUCUGGUGAAGGAGGGUACUUCUUGCCUAGAACCUCAUAAAAUGAUUUCUCAGCGGCUUGAAGAUCUAAGGAAUCUUGAAGCAUACAAGUCUUAUCCUCCAUAUCUUCUUCCAUAAGCAUCUGGCUUACGUAUCUCAAAACUGCAUCAGAAAAGUCACAAUCUUCUGGGGAAUCCUCUUCAUGAACCGCAUUAGAAUUUGGGGUUACUUUACUUGACUUUGGA
rnacentral:misc_RNA from 1 species